UACGUAGGGGGCAAGCGUUGUCCGGAUUUAUUGGGCGUAAAGGGCUCGUAGGCGGCGUGUCGCGUCGGGAGUGAAAGCCCGUUGCUUAACGGCGGGUUGGCUUUCGGUACGGGCAUGCUGGAGUGCGGCAGGGGAGACUGGAAUUCCUGGUGUAGCGGUGGAAUGCGUAGAUAUCGGAAGGAACACCAGUGGCGAAAGCGGCUUCCUGGUCCAGCAC
rnacentral:rRNA from 1 species